UCGUGAUGUUUAACUCAUGAA
rnacentral:piRNA from 1 species